AUUGAACGCUGGCGGCAUGCCUUACACAUGCAAGUCGAACGGCAGCACGGGAGCAAUCCUGGUGGCGAGUGGCGAACGGGUGAGUAAUAUAUCGGAACGUGCCCAGUCGUGGGGAUAACGUAGCGAAAGCUACGCUAAUACCGCAUACGAUCUAUGGAUGAAAGCGGGGGAUCGCAAGACCUCGCGCGAUUGGAGCGGCCGAUAUCAGAUUAGGUAGUUGGUGAGGUAAAGGCUCACCAAGCCGACGAUCUGUAGCUGGUCUGAGAGGACGACCAGCCACACUGGACUGAGACACGGCCCAGACUCCUACGGGAGGCAGCAGUGGGAAUUUUGGACAAAUGGGCGCAAGCCUGAUCCAGCAAUGCCGCGUGCAGGAUGAAGC
rnacentral:rRNA from 1 species